rnacentral:rRNA from 1 species
UAGGGAAUAUUGGACAAUGGGGGCAACCCUGAUCCAGCCAUGCCGCGCGAGUGAAGAAGGCCCUCGGGUUGUAAAGCUCUUUUGUCCGGAAAGAAAAGCAUUCGGUGAAUACCCGGAUGUUCUGACGGUACCGGAAGAAUAAGCACCGGCUAACUUCGUGCCAGCAGCCGCGGUAAUACGAAGGGUGCAAGCGUUACUCGGAAUUACUGGGCGUAAAGCGUGCGUAGGUGGUUGUUUAAGUCUGAUGUGAAAGCCCUGGGCUCAACCUGGGAAUGGCAUUGGAAACUGGGCAGCUAGAGUGCGGUAGAGGGUAGUGGAAUUCCCGGUGUAGCAGUGAAAUGCGUAGAGAUCGGGAGGAACAUCUGUGGCGAAGGCGACUGCCUGGACCAGCACUGACACUGAGGCACGAAAGCGUGGGGAGCAAACA